rnacentral:rRNA from 2 species
CCGAAGCGGGGGAUAACAUUUGGAAACAAGUGCUAAUACCGCAUAAUUAGUUGGAACCGCAUGGUUCCAACUUGAAAGAUGGCUCUGCUAUCACUUUGGGAUGGACCCGCGCCGUAUUAGUUAGUUGGUGAGAUAAAAGCCCACCAAGACGAUGAUACGUAGCCGACCUGAGAGGGUAAUCGGCCACAUUGGGACUGAGACACGGCCCAGACUCCUACGGGAGGCAGCAGUAGGGAAUCUUCCACAAUGGACGAAAGUCUGAUGGAGCAACGCCGCGUGAGUGAUGAAGGUUUUCGGAUCGUAAAACUCUGUUGUUAAAGAAGAACAAGUGUUAGAGUAACUGUUAACACUUUGACGGUAUUUAACCAGAAAGCCACGGCUAACUACGUGCCAGCAGCCGCGGUAAUACGUAGGUGGCAAGCGUUGUCCGGAUUUAUUGGGCGUAAAGCGAGCGCAGGCGGUUUUGUAAGUCUGCUGUGAAAGCCCUCAGCUCAACUGAGGAAGUGCAGUGGAAACUACAAAACUUGAGUACAGAAGAGGAAAGUGGAACUCCAUGUGUAGCGGUGAAAUGCGUAGAUAUAUGGAAGAACACCAGUGGCGAAGGCGGCUUUCUGGUCUGUUACUGACGCUGAGGCUCGAAAGCAUGGGUAGCGAACAGGAUUAGAUACCCUGGUAGUCCAUGCCGUAAACGAUGAAUACUAGGUGUUGGAGGGUUUCCGCCCUUCAGUGCCGCAGCUAACGCAUUAAGUAUUCCGCCUGGGGAGUACGACCGCAAGGUUGAAACUCAAAGGAAUUGACGGGGGCCCGCACAAGUGGUGGAGCAUGUGGUUUAAUUCGAUGCUACGCGAAGAACCUUACCAGCUCUUGACAUCUUCUGCCAACCCAAGAGAUUGGGCGUUCCCUUCGGGGACAGAAUGACAGGUGGUGCAUGGUUGUCGUCAGCUCGUGUCGUGAGAUGUUGGGUUAAGUCCCGCAACGAGCGCAACCCUUAUUAUUAGUUGCCAGCAUUUAGUUGGGCACUCUAGUGAGACUGCCGGUGAUAAACCGGAGGAAGGUGGGGACGACGUCAAAUCAUCAUGCCCCUUAUGAGCUGGGCUACACACGUGCUACAAUGGAUGGUACAACGAGUCGCGAAACCGCGAGGUCAAGCUAAUCUCUUAAAGCCAUUCUCAGUUCGGAUUGCAGGCUGCAACUCGCCUGCAUGAAGUUGGAAUCACUAGUAAUCGUGGAUCAGCAUGCCACGGUGAAUACGUUCCCGGGCCUUGUACACACCGCCCGUCACACCAUGAGA